rnacentral:rRNA from 1 species
GCAAGUCGAACGAGAAAGUACCUUCGGGUACGAGUACAGUGGCGCACGGGUGAGUAACACGUGGGUAAUCUAUCCUUUUGGUGGGGGACAACAUCCUGAAAGGGGUGCUAAUACCGCAUAAGUCCACUUCGGUGGGGAAAGGUGGCUUUGGCUAUCGCCAGAGGAUGAGCCCGCGGCCCAUCAGCUUGUUGGUAGGGUAAUGGCCUACCAAGGCAUCGACGGGUAGCUGGUCUGAGAGGAUGAUC